rnacentral:rRNA from 1 species
UACGUAGGGGGCAAGCGUUGUCCGGAAUCAUUGGGCGUAAAGCGCGCGUAGGCGGCCCGGAAAGUCGGAUGUGAAAACCUGGGGCUCAACCCCAGGCGUGCACCCGAUACUCCCGGGCUGGAGGCAGGUAGGGGAGAUCGGAAUUCCUGGUGUAGCGGUGAAAUGCGCAGAUAUCAGGAGGAACACCGGUGGCGAAGGCGGAUCUCUGGGCCUUGCCUGACGCUGAGGCGCGAAAGCUAGGGGAGCGAACAGG